GACGAACGCUGGCGGCGUGCUUAACACAUGCAAGUCGAACGGAAAGGCCCUGCUUUUGUGGGGUGCUCGAGUGGCGAACGGGUGAGUAACACGUGAGUAACCUGCCCUUGACUUUGGGAUAACUUCAGGAAACUGGGGCUAAUACCGGAUAGGAACUCCUGCUGCAUGGUGGGGGUUGGAAAGUUUCGGCGGUUGGGGAUGGACUCGCGGCUUAUCAGCUUGUUGGUGGGGUAGUGGCUUACCAAGGCUUUGACGGGUAGCCGGCCUGAGAGGGUGACCGGCCACAUUGGGACUGAGAUACGGCCCAGACUCCUACGGGAGGCAGCAGUGGGGAAUAUUGCACAAUGGGCGGAAGCCUGAUGCAGCAACGCCGCGUGCGGGAUGACGGCCUCCGGGUUGUAAACCGCUUUCGCCUGUGACGAAGCGUGAGUGACGGUAAUGGGUAAAGAAGCACCGGCUAACUACGUG
rnacentral:rRNA from 1 species